CCUACGGGGUGCAGCAGUGGGGGAUAUUGCACAAUGGGGGGAACCCUGAUGCAGCGACGCCGCGUGGGUGAAGAAGCGCCUCGGCGCGUACAGCCCUGUCAGCCGGGCAGAAAAUGACGGUCCCUGAAGAAGAAGCCCCGGCUAACUACGUGCCAGCAGCGGCGGUAAUACGUAGGGGGCAAGCGUUAUCCGGAUUUACUGGGUGUAAAGGGGGCGCAGACGGCGGUGCAAGCCAGGAGUGAAAGCCCGGGGCCCAACCCCGGUACGGAUCUUGGAACUGCGUGGCUGGAGUGCAGGAGGGGCAGGCGGAAUGCCGGGUGUAGCGGUGAAAUGCGUAGAGAUCAGGAGGAACACCGGUGGCGAAGGCGGCCUGCUGGACUGCAACUGACGUUGAGGCCCGAAAGCGUGGGGAGCAAACAGGAUUAGAUACCCCAGUAGUC
rnacentral:rRNA from 1 species